rnacentral:rRNA from 1 species
UGGGGAAUCUUCCGCAAUGGACGCAAGUCUGACGGAGCAACGCCGCGUGUAUGACGAAGGCCUUCGGGUUGUAAAAUACUGUCUUUGGGGACGAAUGGCAGUUAUGAAAAUAUUGUAACUGCAUGACGGUACCCGAGAAGGAAGCCCCGGCUAACUACGUGCCAGCAGCCGCGGUAAUACGUAGGGGGCGAGCGUUGUCCGGAAUCAUUGGGCGUAAAGGGCGCGUAGGCGGAUAGUUAAGUCCGGUGUGAAAUACCAAGGCUCAACCUUGGGGCUGCAUCGGGAACUGGUUAUCUGGAGGACAGGAGAGGAAAGUGGAAUUCCUAGUGUAGCGGUGAAAUGCGUAGAUAUUAGGAGGAACACCAGUGGCGAAGGCGACUUUCUGGACUGUAACUGACGCUGAGGCGCGAAAGCGUGGGGAGCAAACAG